GGGGUUACAGCUCAGUGGUAGGCUGUUCACCUCACAUGUGAAAGGUACUGAGUUCGAUCCUCAGUACCACA
rnacentral:tRNA from 1 species